rnacentral:rRNA from 1 species
UACGGGGGGGGCAAGCGUUGUUCGGAAUUACUGGGCGUAAAGGGCUCGUAGGUGGCCAACUAAGUCAGACGUGAAAUCCCUAGGCUCAACCUAGGAACUGCGUCUGAUACUGGAUGGCUUGAAUCCGGGAGAGGGAUGCAGAAUUCCAGGUGUAGCGGUGAAAUGCGUAGAUAUCUGGAGGAAUACCGGCGGCGAAGGCGGCAUCCUGGACCGGCAUUGACGCUGAGGAGCGAAAGCCAGGGGAGCAAACGGG